CGUUAGCGGCGGACGGGUGAGUAACACGUGGGUAACCUACCUAUAAAACUGGGAUAACUCCGGGAAACCGGAGCUAAUACCGGAUAAUAUAUUGAACCGCAUGGUUCAAUAGUGAAAGACGGUUUUGCUGUCACUUAUAGAUGGAUCCGCGCCGCAUUAGCUAGUUGGUAAGGUAACGGCUUACCAAGGCAACGAUGCGUAGCCGACCUGAGAGGGUGAUCGGCCACACUGGAACUGAGACACGGUCCAG
rnacentral:rRNA from 1 species